ensembl:lncRNA
AUGUCUAUCCCCUUAACUCCUAAUCUGUUAUCAAACACCUACUACCACCAUCCACUAUACCAUGUGGUUAGAAGCACACUGGAAGAACAUCCGUCAAGCCCUGCUGCUUCUUUUCACUGCUGCUCUUCUCAUUGGUGUCACCAUGCUUGCCAUUUCAUCCAACAUUAAUCCAGUAGGCUACUUCUUCCUAGGGGUAGGUGGAGUGUGCCUGACUGGAUAUUUGCUGUGUGUGUUUGUUGAGUGUUACCUGAAGAAUCAGCAUCGACAUGACACAAACGAAUUACCUCCAAACAGUCAAAGCCAAGAGGGGAUAAAUGCUGCCUAUGAAGCACCUACAUACGAGGAGGUGAUGACUAUGUCAGUGCCAGCAAUAUGGACAAUAGCAUCCAAUCCAGGCUCAGUGCCCUCACCACUGAGCGAACCGCCUCCUUAUAAUGUCGUUAUUGAAUCAACUGCCCAAGGAGAGACUGCGGUGGUAAUUCCUGGGGUCUCAGUGGCAUCAAACACAAGGAGCAUCUCCGAAACAGACAGAGACCCCAGGAUGCACUUGCAACUGGUUCUGCCUCCAAGCCAGCAGUGCUUUGUUUCAGACACCAAUGCAAUGAAAGGUAAUGCAGAUAGGUAUGAGCCACUGGAACCACUCACUCCACCACCUGCUUAUGAGAGUGCCAUCAAUGAUGAGGUCUUUGAAGACGCUUUCCAGCCCUCCAUAUUAUGAUCAAUUCCACUUUCUAUGAAUGCAGGACCAGACAUUCACCUUGAUAUAUUAAGUUUGUCUUUCCAUUCUUUGAAGCAAAGCUGAACUAGCAUCUAUUUCACUAGAGCCCUUUUGCACAGAAUAUAACUCACUGCAAUACCACAGUGCCUCAUCUUGGCACAAGAUAAACAAAGCCACUGAGAAGAACGUUGUGUGAUAGACAGCAGCAACUCAAACUGGAGAUGCACCUUUUGUGGGAAAGAAAGUGAAUCGUAAAGAAAGACAACCUGUAUUGGAAAGGAGAGGAUCAGAAGCAUUUCAAACAGCAGUAUCACAGAGCAUUGCGAUCAUCAGCCAACUUGCAUUUCUUACUAAGAGACUGAGACUGCAGUUCAUGAUUAUAAGAGUGUUGGUACAACACACAUUUAUUUUCCGUGCUGUUUGCUGCCACCCCUCUGCUGCACUCCCACCUCUGCUUUAGUUGUACUGUGACUAAGAAGAGGGUGGCUGUGCUCAUUUGAAACCUAGCACCUACCACUUCUCUGCUAACCAGCUUGAGGUUGAAAAGCUCACAGCAGGAAUGGCAUUACAAUUUUACACAUGAUGUUCAGAAAGUUCUUAUCCUACACAGCCUCCAGAUUUGACUGGAGGAAGACAAUAGCAUUUUUUUCUCCCUCUGAGAGAGGGAGAACCUAUAGAUACCCUCUAUCUGGAGCACCAAUUUUUACAGUUCUACAGGAGAGUUUAUUUAUGUUACAGUGCAGGCUCAAACAGACUGCUCAAGAUACUUCAUUGUCUUCAUGGCACACAUCAAUGUAAAAAGGUCAACAACUCAAGUUCAUUGUAACAACCUCAUGCAUUGAGGUUCUUUCCAGAACCUGGAAAGGACAAGCCUCUCCGUCAAGGCUGUGACUGCAGCAGAGAGCACUUACAAAUAGGAACCACAAAGCACAGAUGGCCUUCACCAAGACAGCUCUCCUUUUGAGUCAGGUUUGAGCUCUCUCAAUUAGCGGUGCUAAAAAGUGUUUUUAAAUGGGCCAGUUAAACUAUUAGGAUCUGCAGCACUAAAGUGGUUUGCAGUAUGCAAAGAGACAUUGAGAUCUGAUGAAUGUCGAAGUUUUUCAAAAACAGAGAAAAAUGGUCAUCCAAAUCUCCUUAUGAUUGAGAAUAACCAUCAUCACAGCAUUGUUUCCUACAACUACAUCAUUUUUCACUCAUAUCAUAAGCUAAAAGCAAAUAAAUUAUUUCUUAUUGCUUGAUUCUUUAUAGUU